GCAGUGCUGCGUGAGCCUUAGCCGCGCAGGCUGGGUGAAGGGAGAAUGGCGGAUCUGUUACCUUUUGCGGUUCCCACCAAGAGUGACAAAACCUUGCUAGUGUGGGAACUGAGCUCUGGACCCACGGCCGAGGCUUUGCAUGCUGUUUCUCUUGGAGGUGGUGCAGGAGGUUAAAGAAAGCACCUCUGAUGAGCAGAUAGCUGGAGGCUGUUCCCAAGGUCAUGUCUCAGUGAAGAAGUUGGAGUCUAGCAGCCAUCAGAACCAAGGGGUUCAACUUGGUGUCAUCUUCAAAGAGAGAGGACAGAAGGAGCGAGAUUAGUGGACUCAUUACGGCCUUUGUCACUCCGAGUCCAGAUGGGACUUUAGGGAGGUUCAGCCCAAACUUUCCUUUUAGAGAGAGAGGUCUUGCUCCGUCACACGGUCUGGAGUGCAGUGGUACAAUCCCAGCUCACUGCAGCCUCGACCUCCUGAACUCAAAUGACCAUCCCAUCUCAGCCUCCCAAGUAGCUGCACCUGGCUAAUUAAAAAAGAUUUUUUUGAGAUGAGGUCUGUGUUGCCCAGGCUGGUCUCCAACUCCUGGGCUCAAGCAAUCCUCUUACCUCAGCCUCUCAAAGCACUGGGGUUACAGGUGAGAGCCCCUCACUUGGCCUAACAAGGGGAACCCACCAAGCCCUACUGAAGCCCAGGGACAUCUGCAUAGGAAGAAUAACAUCAUGAACCACCAGUGCCGAGAAGGAACUCUCAGCAGGUUAACUGCACCAGCACCCACUGAAGUUCCGUGAGGCCAAGGGCCAAGGCUUGCCAAGAGCUGUCAGUCUUUCCUUCUACAGAUGCCUCUGGGCUCUGAGCUGCUCCUCCUGCAGCAGGGAUGGCUGAACUGAGCCAGCCACACUCUCCUUCUGUCAGGCCCUCUAUGCCCACUACUUUGGGGGAUGGAGGAUUAGGAAGGCUAUUGGAGGCUGAGAACUAAAGUUUCUUUUAGGGCUGGGUGUGGUGGCUCAUGCCUGUAAUCCCAGCAUUUUGAGAGGCUGGGGCAGGAGGAUUGCUGGAGCCCAGGAAUUUAAGGCUGGAGUGAGCUAUGAUGGCACCACUGCACUCCAGCCUGGGUGACAGAGCAAGACCCUGUCUCUUAAAAACAAACAAACAAACAAACAAACAAAAGUUCUUUUAGACCAUGCUAACUGAUUCUUUAAAAGAUUGAGCCUUUGGUAUGGGUUUAUGACUCCCAUUUCUGGAGCUAAUCCUGGAAUUAACGUCACCCUUAGACUCCAGACUGGGCCAUGGUGGUGGGCGGGGGGGGGGGGGGGCACCUGCCAUGAGAGAUGAAAUUGUUUAAAUCCAUUCCAGCCCAAGAGCAAGGAGGAAAGCUCUGGGAGGCUGUGAAAGGCAGACUGGGUGGAGGGGAGGGGAGCAGAGAACCAUGCGGGGACUGACUGCAGCUGUUGGCAGACAGACCAUGUCAGCUGGCCCUGCCCUCUGGGUUUGUGGGGACAUGGGUUCAGCUCUCAGUUGCAGCUGAGGCUUCAGAGAGCUUGUAAGAAAGGACAGUAUGCAGGAGUGAGCCCAGGCCCAUGGGGCGCCUGGGGAUGAGAUGAUUUCCAGCUCGCACCAGCCGUGCUCCCCCGGGUGGAGUUUCUCUGUGCUCCUCUUUGCUGACACAACCCCUGCAGAUGCACAUAGUCAGAGGCCUUGCCCUUCCCCCAGCCUGACCAACCUCCUAGUGUUGAGGAGGGCCCAACCCUCAUUAAACUCAUGGUCUCUGAAUUUGGGCGUAUGCUUUAAAUGGGGGUUGCAUUGAUGGGAGGGUCUGGCUGUCAUCUGACCCACUUUGCAGUUCUUAUGGCUCAGCGCUUGUGAAAGCUGAGUCAUGUGGUGGCAGGCAGCGCCAGGAUCCCAGGGCUCAUCUGAGGCCAUCUCUCCAUCGCGGAGACCAUGGUUCUCAAAUUUGAAAGGUACAAGAGGGACAACUUCAAAAAUCAGAUUCCUGGGAUCCUGGUCCCAGAGGAUCAUAUUCAGUGGGAUGGGGCCCAGGAAUCUGCAUUUUACAAGCCAUCCAGGUAUAAGGAGAGCCUCACAGUCUGCAGACUACUCUGCAAUGCUCUGCUCCAGGAAGAACCAACCUGGGGUCUAUCCUAGGUAUUCUUUCUGAGGCUCUGUGAGUAUCAUGCGAAGGACACUGAAUGCUUUGUCAAAAUGCUUCUUGAUAGCCUGGGCGUGGUGGCUCACGCCUAUAAUCCCAGCAAUUUGGGAGGCCAAGACGGGUGGAUCACGAGGUCAGGAGAUUGAGACCAUCCUGGCUAACACGGUGAAACCCCGUCUCUACU